UACCCCAUAGUGUAAUGGUAGCACCAGUGAUUUUGGUUCACUUAGUCUAGGUUCAAAUCCUAGUGGGGUAG
rnacentral:tRNA from 1 species